UGCAGGAGCACUACUGUGUGACUUGCGCGAUAAAUGAUGCCAUGGGGCUCUUUAGGAAUUUCGGUUUUCCUACCCACCAGCAGCACGUGGUCAAUUCCCCCUCAACAUCUCCAUGAAAGCCAAGGCGAGACCGGACCAGACGUGGCUGCUGUUGCCGAGUUUGGUUAAACAAACAGUUGCAGAGCAGCCUUUAUGACUGGCUCGUGCCACUUAACCAGGUUAAGAGAUUGUCAAGUAAAGCGGCCUCUCAAGCUAGUAGUCAGUCUUUAAGUAAAUUCUCCAUAAGGAUUGAUGACUUGUGUGGAUGAAUCCCCCUGUGCGCUGUUUGUCUGACUCUAGAAGACGGA
rnacentral:misc_RNA from 1 species